CCUACGGGAGGCAGCAGUGGGGAAUAUUGGACAAUGGGGGGAACCCUGAUCCAGCCAUGCCGCGUGUGUGAAGAAGGCCCUCGGGUUGUAAAGCACUUUCAGUGAGGAAGAACGCCUGGUGGUUAAUACCCAUCAGGAAAGACAUCACUCACAGAAGAAGCACCAGCUAACUCCGUGCCAGCAGCCGCGGUAAUACGGAGGGUGCGAGCGUUAAUCGGAAUUACUGGGCGUAAAGCGCGCGUAGGUGGCUUGAUAAGCCGGUUGUGAAAGCCCCGGGCUCAACCUGGGAACGGCAUCCGGAACUGUCAAGCUAGAGUGCAGGAGAGGACGGUAGAAUUCCCGGUGUAGCGGUGAAAUGCGUAGAGAUCGGGAGGAAUACCAGUGGCGAAGGCGGCCUUCUGGACUGACACUGACACUGAGGUGCGAAAGCGUGGGUAGCAAACAGGAUUAGAUACCCGAGUAGUC
rnacentral:rRNA from 1 species